AGUGAACGCUGGCGGUAGGCCUAACACAUGCAAGUCGAACGGCAGCACAGUAAGAGCUUGCUCUUACGGGUGGCGAGUGGCGGACGGGUGAGGAAUACAUCGGAAUCUACUUUUUCGUGGGGGAUAACGUAGGGAAACUUACGCUAAUACCGCAUACGACCUACGGGUGAAAGCAGGGGAUCUUCGGACCUUGCGCGAUUGAAUGAGCCGAUGUCGGAUUAGCUAGUUGGCGGGGUAAAGGCCCACCAAGGCGACGAUCCGUAGCUGGUCUGAGAGGAUGAUCAGCCACAUUGGAACUGAGACACGGUCCAGACUCCUACGGGAGGCAGCAGUGGGGAAUAUUGGACAAUGGGCGCAAGCCUGAUCCAGCCAGACCGCGUGGGUGAAGAAGGCCUUCGGGUUGUAAAGCCCUUUUGUUGGGAAAGAAAAGCAGCAGGUUAAUACCCCGCUGUUCUGACGGUACCCAAAGAAUAAGCACCGGCUAACUUCGUG
rnacentral:rRNA from 1 species